rnacentral:rRNA from 1 species
AACGAACGCUGGCGGCAUGCCUAACACAUGCAAGUCGAACGAACCCUUCGGGGUUAGUGGCGCACGGGUGCGUAACGCGUGGGAAUCUGCCCUUGGCUUCGGAAUAACAGUUAGAAAUGACUGCUAAUACCGGAUGAUGUCUUCGGACCAAAGAUUUAUCGGCAAGGGAUGAGCCCGCGUAGGAUUAGGUAGUUGGUGGGGUAAAGGCCUACCAAGCCGACGAUCCUUAGCUGGUCUGAGAGGAUGAUCAGCCACACUGGGACUGAGACACGGCCCAGACUCCUACGGGAGGCAGCAGUGGGGAAUAUUGGACAAUGGGCGAAAGCCUGAUCCAGCAAUGCCGCGUGAGUGAUGAAGGCCUUAGGGUUGUAAAGCUCUUUUACCCGGGAUGAUAAUGACAGUACCGGGAGAAUAAGCUCCGGCUAACUUCGUGCCAGCCGCCGCGGUAACAC